UUUACAGAAAGAUGGAAAACCUGGUCGGAUUUUUGGGGUCCCAUUCUGUAUUUUUCCCCCAGAUUCCCUGACCCCCUAAACAGAUUUUCUAAAAGUUGCACGUUUUCACUCCUUGUGCUAUGAAAUCCUCUGGGUUUUGAUAAAUGGCUAGGUUCCCACACUCACCAGGGCGGUACGUGCAGAAUCCUCUCUCCAUUGUGCAGCAUCCCGCACACGAGCCACACACUCACCUUCAGUGCUGUCUCCUCCCCAAACUGCCAGCAACUCCUCUGUUCCCAGAAUGUGGUCGGAGGGGACCCCAAGGUCUUGGUGUUUCAAGCUGGCUUUUUUCACUUAGAAACUCACAUUUCAUCCGGGCUGUUGUGCGGGAUGAUGCGCUGAACGGUACACAACACAAACGCCCACCGAGGGUCUGUACCGAGGCUUGUUUAUUCUCCAUCUGCUGCGGGACAUCUUGGCUGUUUCGGCUUUUGACAACUGUGGACCAAGCUCUGAAAUCGCCAACUGCUUUCUGCCACGGCCGCUGCGCUCUCGUCCUCAUCGUCUACGACCUGAGUUCUUUUGAAAGAACUGGCGCCACGUCCUCACCCGAGGUCGACGCUAUUCGUUCUUUUGCGUUUUAACCAUUUAAAUACAUGUGAUGGUAUUUCGUUCUGGUUUUCAUGUUCAGUUUCCUAAUGAAAACUGAUGUUGGA